rnacentral:rRNA from 1 species
GAUGAACGCUGGCGGCGUGCCUAAUACAUGCAAGUCGAGCGAACGGACGAGAAGCUUGCUUCUCUGAUGUUAGCGGCGGACGGGUGGGUAACACGUGGAUAACCUACCUAUAAGACUGGGAUAACUUCGGGAAACCGGAGCUAAUACCGGAUAAUAUUUUGAACCGCAUGGUUCAAAAGUGAAAGACGGUCUUGCUGUCACUUAUGGAUGGAUCCGCGCUGCAUUAGCUAGUUGGUAAGGUAACGGCUUACCAAGGCAACGAUGCAUAGCCGACCUGAGAGGGUGAUCGGCCACACUGGAACUGAGACACGGUCCAGACUCCUACGGGAGGCAGCAGUAGGGAAUCUUCCGCAAUGGGCGAAAGCCUGACGGAGCAACGCCGCGUGAGUGAUGAAGGUCUUCGGAUCGUAAAACUCUGUUAUUAGGGAAGAACAUAUGUGUAAGUAACUGUGCACAUCUUGACGGUACCUAAUCAGAAAGCCACGGCUAACUACGUG